CCCCAGUUCGACAAAACGCACAGCGUUUUGGACGCCCGUCAGGGCGCCCCGCAGGGGUGAGCGAUCCGCCACAGCGGAUUGCGAAUCAAUCUC
rnacentral:ncRNA from 1 species